UACGUAGGGUGCGAGCGUUGUCCGGAAUUAUUGGGCGUAAAGAGCUCGUAGGCGGUCUGUCGCGUCUGCUGUGAAAUCUCAAGGCUCAACCUUGAGCUUGCAGUGGGUACGGGCAGACUAGAGUGUGGUAGGGGAGACUGGAAUUCCUGGUGUAGCGGUGAAAUGCGCAGAUAUCAGGAGGAACACCGAUGGCGAAGGCAGGUCUCUGGGCCACUACUGACGCUGAGAAGCGAAAGCAUGGGGGAGCGAACAGG
rnacentral:rRNA from 1 species